GACGAACGCUGGCGGCGUGCUUAACACAUGCAAGUCGAACGGUGAAGGGGUCUGCUUUUGUGGGCCCUGGAUGAGUGGCGCACGGGUGAGUAACACGUGAGUAACCUGCCCCCUUCUUCUGGAUAACCGCAUGAAAGUGUGUCUAAUACGGGAUAUUCUGGGUCUGUCGCAUGAUGGGUCUGGGAAAGAUUGCGCCUUUGGGUGUUUUUGGUGGGGGAUGGGCUCGCGGCCUAUCAGCUUGUUGGUGGGGUGAUGGCCUACCAAGGCGGUGACGGGUAGCCGGCCUGAGGGGGUGGACGGUCACACUGGGACAGAGACACGGCCCAGACGCCUACGGGAGGGAGCAGUGGGGAAGAUUGCGCAAUGGGGGCAAGCCUGAUGCAGCGACGCCGCGUGAGGGAGGGAGGCAUUCGGGUUGUAAACCUCUUUCGCCAGUGAAGCAGGCCUGCUCCUUGUGGGUGGGUUGACGGUAGCUGGAGAAGAAGCGCCGGCUAACUACGUG
rnacentral:rRNA from 1 species